rnacentral:rRNA from 1 species
AGGACGAACGCUGGCGGCGUGCUUCACACAUGCAAGUCGAACGGGGCUCAUUCGGUGGUAACACCGGAGAAGGCCUAGUGGCGAACGGGUGCGUAACACGUGAAGAACCUGCCCCGAAGACUGGGAUAACAGCGGGAAACCGCUGCUAAUACCGGAUGACCCCACCAGGCCGCAUGGCCAGGUGAGGAAAUGGGCCUACCGCUUCGGGAGGGCUUCGCGGCCUAUCAGCUUGUUGGUGGGGUAACGGCCUACCAAGGCUACGACGGGUAGCUGGUCUGAGAGGACGACCAGCCACACUGGGACUGAGACACGGCCCAGACUCCUACGGGAGGCAGCAGUGGGGGAAUCUUGCGCAAUGGGCGAAAAGCCUGACGCAGCAACGCCGCGUGAGGGAUGAAGGUCUUCGGGUUGUAAACCUCUUUCGAGCAGGGACGAUUGUGACGGUACCUGCAGAAGAAGCUCCGGCCAACUACGUGCCAGCAGCGCGGU